rnacentral:rRNA from 1 species
UAGUGAUUAGAGUUUGAUCCUGGCUCAGAUUGAACGCUGGCGGCAGGCUUAACACAUGCAAGUCGAGCGGAGAGAGGUAGCUUGCUACUGAUCUUAGCGGCGGACGGGUGAGUAAUACUUAGGAAUCUGCCUAUUAGUGGGGGACAACAUCUCGAAAGGGAUGCUAAUGCCGCAUACGUCCUACGGGAGAAAGCAGGGGAUCUUUAUGACCUUGCGCUAAUAGAUGAGCCUAAGUCGGAUUAGCUAGUUGGUGGGGUAAAGGCCUACCAAGGCGACGAUCUGUAGCGGGUCUGAGAGGAUGAUCCGCCACACUGGGACUGAGACACGGCCCAGACUCCUACGGGAGGCAGCAGUGGGGAAUAUUGGACAAUGGGGGGAACCCUGAUCCAGCCAUGCCGCGUGUGUGAAGAAGGCCUUAUGGUUGUAAAGCACUUUAAGCGAGGAGGAGGCUCUAUUGGUUAAUACCCAAGAUGAGUGGACGUUACUCGCAGAAUAAGCACCGGCUAACUCUGUGCCAGCAGCCGCGGUAAUACAGAGGGUGCAAGCGUUAAUCGGAUUUACUGGGCGUAAAGCGCGCGUAGGCGGCCAAUUAAGUCAAAUGUGUAAUCCCCGAGCUUAACUUGGGAAUUGCAUUCGAUACUGUUUGGCUAGAGUGUGGGAGAGGAUGGUAGAAUUCCAGGUGUAGCGGUGAAAUGCGUAGAGAUCUGGAGGAAUACCGAUGGCGAAGGCAGCCAUCUGGCCUAACACUGACGCUGAGGUGCGAAAGCAUGGGGAGCAAACAGGAUUAGAUACCCUGGUAGUCCAUGCCGUAAACGAUGUCUACUAGCCGUUGGGGCCUUUGAGGCUUUAGUGGCGCAGCUAACGCGAUAAGUAGACCGCCUGUGGAGUACGGUCGCAAGACUAAAACUCAAAUGAAUUGACGGGGGCCCGCACAAGCGGUGGAGCAUGUGGUUUAAUUCGAUGCAACGCGAAGAACCUUACCUGGCCUUGACAUAGUAGAAACUUUCCAGAGAUGGAUUGGUGCCUUCGGGAAUCUACAUACAGGUGCUGCAUGGCUGUCGUCAGCUCGUGUCGUGAGAUGUUGGGUUAAGUCCCG